CCACUGACUGUAUAAAGGUUUUUUAAGGUCUGUUUAUCAAGCGUCAAGUCAGGUUAUCUUGCUACUGGUACCAUGUAGUACAUCCUGCUUAAGCAGGUUGUACGCCAUCCAUACAAUGUUUGGGCAUCUGUUUGUAAAAUAUUGCUGCAAAUCUUUUUGAGAGAGCCAUUACUAUGGAGAACCAUUUAAACCAUACAAGUGUGGAAACAUGGAUAAUAAUGUGAAAUAAACUGAUGAGUUUAUUUAACUUAGCUGGUAAAAAAAAGAGUCGUGAAACAAAUUUAAUGAAGACAAUUAUAGAAUGAAGUUCAUUCAUUUGCUGGCAACAUUUUUAAACGUGGUCCAGAUCGAAAAAAUUUGGUGCUAGAAAUUGUCGAUAGUGGAAGUGAUAGAUGCA
rnacentral:lncRNA from 1 species